rnacentral:rRNA from 1 species
UUAAAUUGAAGAGUUUGAUCAUGGCUCAGAUUGAACGCUGGCGGCAGGCCUAACACAUGCAAGUCGAACGGUAACAGAAAUCAGCUUGCUGCUUUGCUGACGAGUGGCGGACGGGUGAGUAAUGUCUGGGAAACUGCCUGAUGGAGGGGGAUAACUACUGGAAACGGUAGCUAAUACCGCAUAACGUCGCAAGACCAAAGAGGGGGACCUUCGGGCCUCUUGCCAUCGGAUGUGCCCAGAUGGGAUUAGCUAGUAGGUGGGGUAACGGCUCACCUAGGCGACGAUCCCUAGCUGGUCUGAGAGGAUGACCAGCCACACUGGAACUGAGACACGGUCCAGACUCCUACGGGAGGCAGCAGUGGGGAAUAUUGCACAAUGGGCGCAAGCCUGAUGCAGCCAUGCCGCGUGUAUGAAGAAGGCCUUCGGGUUGUAAAGUACUUUCAGCGGGGAGGAAGGGAGUAAAGUUAAUACCUUUGCUCAUUGACGUUACCCGCAGAAGAAGCACCGGCUAACUCCGUGCCAGCAGCCGCGGUAAUACGGAGGGUGCAAGCGUUAAUCGGAAUUACUGGGCGUAAAGCGCACGCAGGCGGUUUGUUAAGUCAGAUGUGAAAUCCCCGGGCUCAACCUGGGAACUGCAUCUGAUACUGGCAAGCUUGAGUCUCGUAGAGGGGGGUAGAAUUCCAGGUGUAGCGGUGAAAUGCGUAGAGAUCUGGAGGAAUACCGGUGGCGAAGGCGGCCCCCUGGACGAAGACUGACGCUCAGGUGCGAAAGCGUGGGGAGCAAACAGGAUUAGAUACCCUGGUAGUCCACGCCGUAAACGAUGUCGACUUGGAGGUUGUGCCCUUGAGGCGUGGCUUCCGGAGCUAACGCGUUAAGUCGACCGCCUGGGGAGUACGGCCGCAAGGUUAAAACUCAAAUGAAUUGACGGGGGCCCGCACAAGCGGUGGAGCAUGUGGUUUAAUUCGAUGCAACGCGAAGAACCUUACCUGGUCUUGACAUCCACAGAACUUUCCAGAGAUGGAUUGGUGCCUUCGGGAACUGUGAGACAGGUGCUGCAUGGCUGUCGUCAGCUCGUGUUGUGAAAUGUUGGGUUAAGUCCCGCAACGAGCGCAACCCUUAUCCUUUGUUGCCAGCGGUCCGGCCGGGAACUCAAAGGAGACUGCCAGUGAUAAACUGGAGGAAGGUGGGGAUGACGUCAAGUCAUCAUGGCCCUUACGACCAGGGCUACACACGUGCUACAAUGGCGCAUACAAAGAGAAGCGACCUCGCGAGAGCAAGCGGACCUCAUAAAGUGCGUCGUAGUCCGGAUUGGAGUCUGCAACUCGACUCCAUGAAGUCGGAAUCGCUAGUAAUCGUGGAUCAGAAUGCCACGGUGAAUACGUUCCCGGGCCUUGUACACACCGCCCGUCACACCAUGGGAGUGGGUUGCAAAAGAAGUAGGUAGCUUAACCUUCGGGAGGGCGCUUACCACUUUGUGAUUCAUGACUGGGGUGAAGUCGUAACAAGGUAACCGUAGGGGAACCUGCGGUUGGAUCACCUCCUUACCUUAAAGAAGC